rnacentral:rRNA from 1 species
UACGUAGGGUGCGAGCGUUAAUCGGAAUUACUGGGCGUAAAGCGUGCGUAGGCGGUUCGUUGUGUCUGAGGUGAAAGCCCCGGGCUUAACCUGGGAAUGGCCAUGGAAACUGGCGAGCUGGAGUGUGGCAGAGGGGGGUGGAAUUCCGCGUGUAGCAGUGAAAUGCGUAGAGAUGCGGAGGAACACCGAUGGCGAAGGCAGCCCCCCUGGGCUAACACUGACGCUGAGGCACGAAAGCGUGGGGAGCAAACAGG